rnacentral:rRNA from 1 species
UGGGGAAUUUUGGACAAUGGGCGAAAGCCUGAUCCAGCAAUGCCGCGUGUGUGAAGAAGGCCUUCGGGUUGUAAAGCACUUUUGUCCGGAAAGAAAUCCUUGGCUCUAAUACAGUCGGGGGAUGACGGUACCGGAAGAAUAAGCACCGGCUAACUACGUGCCAGCAGCCGCGGUAAUACGUAGGGUGCAAGCGUUAAUCGGAAUUACUGGGCGUAAAGCGUGCGCAGGCGGUUUGCUAAGACCGAUGUGAAAUCCCCGGGCUCAACCUGGGAACUGCAUUGGUGACUGGCAGGCUAGAGUAUGGCAGAGGGGGGUAGAAUUCCACGUGUAGCAGUGAAAUGCGUAGAGAUGUGGAGGAAUACCGAUGGCGAAGGCAGCCCCCUGGGCCAAUACUGACGCUCAUGCACGAAAGCGUGGGGAGCAAACAGGAUUAGAUACCCUGGUAGUCCACGCCCUAAACGAUGUCAACUAGUUGUUGGGGAUUCAUUUCCUUAGUAACGUAGCUAACGCGUGAAGUUGACCGCCUGGGGAGUACGGUCGCAAGAUUAAAACUCAAAUGAAUUG